GGCUAUCGACGCGGUUUCGUGCAAGACGCGGCCGGCCCUGUCGAUGCAGACCCCUAGUUGAUCGUCGAUUGUUAUGUCGCUUAUUCGAGCGAACUUCACGUCCGCAGACGUGAAGUCCCUGUCGCCGAAUAUCGUCGAUAUCUCGGAUGGGGAGGGGGCGCUGGUACGCUGGAAAAUCUCGAAAGGAGUCGAGCGCUGAAUCAGACGAGACGGAAACGAGCAGUGCCCAAGUUUCGAUGUCCAGAAGACCUCAUCCCGGG
rnacentral:misc_RNA from 1 species